UACGGAGGGUGCGAGCGUUGUCCGGAAUCAUUGGGCGUAAAGGGCGCGUAGGUGGCCUGCUAAGCGUGCGGUGAAAGUCGGGGGCUCAACCCCCGAUCGGCCGUGCGAACUGGGAGGCUUGAGCACUGUAGAGGCAGGCGGAAUUCCGGGGUGUAGCGGUGGAAUGCGUAGAGAUCCGGAAGAACACCGGUGGCGAAGGCGGCCUGCUGGGCAGUUUUGCUGACACUGAGGCGCGACAGCGUGGGGAGCAA
rnacentral:rRNA from 1 species